CCUACGGGAGGCAGCAGUGAGGAAUAUUUGUCAAUGGGCGCGAGCCUGAACCAGCCAAGUAGCGUGAAGGAUGACUGCCCUACGGGUUGUAAACUUCUGUUAUAAAGGAAUAAAGUGAGGCACGUGUGCCUUUUUGUAUGUACUUUAUGAAUAAUGAUCGGCUAACUCCGGUCCAGCAGCCGCGGUAAUACGUAGGCUCCGAUCGUUAUCCGGAUUUAUUGGGUUUAAAGGGAGCGUAGAUGGGUUGUUAAGUCAGUUGUGAAAGUUUGCGGCUCAACCGGAAAAUUGCAAUUGAUACUGGCAGACUUGAGUACAGUUGAGGUAGGCGGAAUUCGUGGUGUAGCGGUGAAAUGCUUAGAUAUCACGAAGAACUCCGAUUGCGAAGGCAGCUUACUAAACUGCAACUGACAUUGAUGCUCGAAAGUGUGGGUAUCAAACAGGAUUAGAUACCCUAGUAGUC
rnacentral:rRNA from 1 species